GCACCUGGUCCAUAUGGCCUCUCUUUCCUCUUUUUGCAAGAAUUUUGGGAUGUCAUCAAACAAGAUGUUAUGGCUCUAUUUGAUGACUUCCAUGCAGGCAACCUAGAUAUAUAUAGACUAAAUUUUGCCAUGAUUACCCUCAUCUCUAAAGAAGAAGAUGCCACCAACAUGAGAAAAUUUAGGCCAAUUAGCUUGCUGAAUUGUAUUUUUAAAGUUUUUACAAAAGUUUUGACCAAUAGGCUUGCUGUUGUUAUGAACUUCCUCACUUCUAGUAACCAGUCAGCUUUCAUUAAGGGGAGGUAUAUCCUUGAAAGUGUGGUGACUGCGCAUGAGGUGUUACAUUCUACUUUUCAUGCUGACAACUCAGGACUAGUGCUUAAACUAGACUAUGAGAAGGCCUUUGACAAGGUCAAUCUAGAUUUCUUGUUAGAGAUCCUUCACAAAAGAAACUUUGGUCAUGUAUGA
rnacentral:rRNA from 1 species